UUAUUACGGAACCACUCCUGCUCCAAAGUUCUUGGUUAUUUUAAAAUAGUUUUUGUUAAAUAUUGUACCUACUUAUUUUUUCCAUUGCGAGUAACACUAAACUGGCGGGGGUUUCCCAUCCAUAACAUUUUAAUAGGACUAAAUCAGAAUAUGUACACAAAGCAAACAUAAAAUUAGCAUUGAAAUGUAUGCCAUACGGCUCAGAUAAACGGAAAUCUCUCAUGACAAUAUCCUUUGUCUUUGUCUCUCACAUUCCAAAUGAAAGAGAUGUCUAUAAUGAUAUGCCAAGAAUGUUGAUGUACGAUGUGCUGAAACGUGACUUUUAUUAAAGUUUCAAGUCAAGGUUACAAUACAUUCAACGUUCGAGAUAAAAAACAUUGCAAAUUGUUUAGUGGACUGAUUUGUGUGUUUUAUAGGUUUCACAUAAGAAGUUUAAUUCAGUUCUCAAGUGUUUAUCUCUUGGAUAAGAAUCCGUUAACUUAGAUAGGUACUAAUAAGUUUAUCAAGUGAUCCUUUGAUUGUCAUCAACUAUCAGUGCAAAACGUAAAAAAAAGUAGGGCCUACCACAAACUUAUCUGAAAUGGUAAGCUCUAUGAAUAUGGAUUUAGAUUUAAUAUGGCAAGUCAAAUUACAUCCAGAGUUAUAUGAUACACAACAUGUAGAUUUUCAAAAUUCUAAAGUUCGAGAAGCCACAUGGAUAUCAAUAGCUGCUGAAAUACAACAUGCAACUAAAUACGUAUGCAGUAGCAGAUGGAAGGAAUUGGAAAAGAACUUUAGAGAAAUGAUAAUUGCAAAAAGAAAUGAUAUACCCUGCAAAAGACCGGGAUAUACUCGGCAGAUGUUAUUCCUUGCUCCGUUUAUACAUGCCGAAGAGGAUAUUCUUGAGGGCAAAAUAUCAAGAUCCACAACAUCCAGUUCCACAGAUCCACUAAUCGAUUUCUUCUUAAAUAUGGGGAAGAUAGUUCAAAAAUUCGAUAAGACAACUCAAGUAGAAAUGAAAAAUAAAGUUUUUCAAUUGGUCCGUAACGCGGAGAUGUCAAUGGAUGGGAACAAACCUGCUUAUUUUCCGUCAUGGGGAUGGCUUUUCAUAUUGUUUACUGUGUUUUUUAUUUUAUUAAACUAUCCGAAUAAAAUCAUUAGGUACUUAGAUCACAAUUAAGCCACCGACAACAUAAUUUACAAAAUACCUGUAAAACCAGGAAGGUACCUGAAGAUUUAAUUUCUUUUUUAUUCUACAUCAUAAUGUAUUUAACCCUCACUAAGUGCAUUCGCGUCGCAUUUAGUUAUAAAUAUGUUAAAUUAUGUUAAUUUACUUUAAAAGGAGCUAAGGGGCCAUCUAGACGAUUAAUUUGCACAAUAAUACGAAUUGUGAAUGUAGUGUAGUAGCAUUAUGGGAGUUAAUAUUGAUGAAAGCGCAAUUCUUUCACGUCUUUGGUGCCUAUUAUUACUUAUUUUUAGCAUUUUUUAUUCUAAGAUAUUUUAUUGUAAUAUUAAGCAAUGUAUUCGGUGAUCCAUACGAUAAAUUGUAUAUUUUGUAAGCUAUUGCUAUUAAAGUACUCAAAAUAUU
rnacentral:lncRNA from 1 species